rnacentral:rRNA from 1 species
AGUGAACGCUGGCGGCAGGCCUAACACAUGCAAGUCGAACGGCAGCACAGUAAGAGCUUGCUCUUACGGGUGGCGAGUGGCGGACGGGUGAGGAAUACAUCGCAAUCUACUUUUUCGUGGGGGAUAACGUAGGGAAACAUACGCUAAUACCGCAUACGACCUACGGGUGAAAGCAGGGGAUCUUCGGACCUUGCGCGAUUGAAUGAGCCGAUGUCGGAUUAGCUAGUUGGCGGGGUAAAGGCCCACCAAGGCGACGAUCCGUAGCUGGUCUGAGAGGAUGAUCAGCCACACUGGAACUGAGACACGGUCCAGACUCCUACGGGAGGCAGCAGUAGGGAAUAUUCGGCAAUGGGCGCAAGCCUGAUCCAGCCAUACCGCGUGGGUGAAGAAGGCCUUCGGGUUGUAAAGCUCUUUUGUUGGGGAAGAAAAACAGCAUGUUUAACCACCGCUGUUUUGACGGUACCCAAAGAAUAAGCACCGGCUAACUUCGUG